ensembl:lincRNA
AUGGAAUAGGAAUUGAGCCUCAAGAAAUUACUAGACAUGUAUUUAACAAAGGAAAGAGAGGAAGACAUUCCAAGAGAGGGAAUAAUGUGAGCAAAUUGAUGAUGGGUAAAAAUUUGGAGGCCAGGAAAUCUUUCUGGUACAGCUGCCCUUUGUCCCUUUCCAGCGGACUAAAGGAGAAGAUCCAGACUAAGAAUCAAUGUGAAGUUGGAAGAGGGAGACACUCAUAGAUCUUUGGGAAAUGACUCUAUGGGGCUUUACUUCUACAGGAAGAGAAGCUCAGACAUCAAGAAAAAGGGACUUGUUGAAAAUGUGGAAUAAAAGAAGUGGAAUCAGAUCAUCAGGUGACCUGAAUGCGAAGGCAUUGGCCUUCUAGAAGAAAACGCUGUAAAUUCAGAUGUCAAGGAGGUGCUGUGGUGAACAGGGACUCCAACCAAGGAAAAAUUAUCUCCACAUUUUACAGGCGUUAAAGGCUGGUGAGGAAAGCUGGGUUCUUGGCUGAGGUUCUUAUUCAGCUGAUUACAGAGAGCAACACAUACAUGCAUGACUAACAACCCCAUAAUAGGCCCUUCCUUUUCAGCUGUAAUGGGAGCCACACUGACAGAUGUGAUGGGUGUUCUCAGCAACCCUCGAGGAGUGACAACUGCAGCGCUCACUUACAAAAAACAGUAACUGCUGAAAUGCAAAGGCUGCCGGAUCCCCACACACCGUUGGCUCUGAUCACAAGUGUCCCUGAUCCUCCUGGGCUUACUGAACAUCCGACCAUUGCCCUCAGAACAACUACCUAUGCAUGAAAGAGAAAAUGUGAAAAUGCUGGGAACUCCAGGGAGAGCAAUGUGUGACAUUUAUAGAGUGGCCCGAAGCAGCACUUCUCCAUGCAUCUUUGGGGAGGGUUGGCCAUCAGGAAAACAGAACACUAGGAAGAGCACAGCUACUGUCAUCAGAAACACCUGGAUUGACAUUUCCACUCUCACGGACUGGCUGUAUGACCGUGGACCAGCUUCUUAUCCUCUUCUGAAUUUCAUGUCCUCCCUGUAAUGUGGGGAUAACAAUGUGUUGUUGCAACUCCUAAGUGAGAUAAUCUGCGUAAGAUGCUUUAGCUUCCCUCUGCUGCAGCCUGAUAUCAGUAGGUUUUCAAUAUGUGGCCGUUACUGUCCCAUGAGCUGGUUUUCAGCCUGACUGCCUAAGGUAGGAAAUGCCAUUGGAAUUCUUAUUAACUGGGUUCUUGACAAGCAGGAGGUUGUAGUCAUAGGUGGAGAUGGUGUGGCUUAGCCCAGAGUUAAGAGACAACUCAGGUCGGGCGCGGUGGCUCACGCCUGGAAUCCCAGCACUUUGGGAGGCUGAGGUGGGCGGAUCAUGAGGUCAGGAGUUCGAGACCAGCCUGGUCAACACGGUGAAACCCCAUCUCUACAAAAAAUACAAAAAUUAGCCAGAUGUGGUGGCGCGUGCCUGUAAUCCCAGCUACUUGGGCAGUUGAGGCAUGAUAAUCACUUGAACCCAGGAGGAGGAGCUUGCCGUGAGCCGAGAUCGUGCCACUGCACUCCAGCCUGGAUGACAAAGUCCGACUCCAUCUCCAAAAAAAAAACAAAGAGACAACUCAAACUAAAGCCACUUUUGAGGAAUACCUCCUUGUUAACCAAGUACAACAUAGUUACCAUAAAAACUAUCUGGCUAGAUAAUAGAAAUACUCAACUUUUGUAUCCUACCUUACUCAGUCAACAUCAAGAACAUCUUCAUGUUGGGACCCACUCUUCUACAUUAUUUUGCAUGGUUGAGACACCACACAGUCGCAGGACAUGAAGAAAAACAAAGGCAAAAUAAAACACCGUGUCAUACUUGUUGUCACAUCCUCUGUCCACGCAGCCCUUCUGAUCAUGCCCUGGUAUGUGCUUCUGAGACUAGAUAGGCCAGCGGUGGCUCAAACACCCUGAGACAGCCCGAACUCAGCUGUGCGCCCACCCC